rnacentral:rRNA from 1 species
GACGAACGCUGGCGGCGUGCUUAACACAUGCAAGUCGAACGGAAAGGCCCUGCUUGCAGGGUGCUCGAGUGGCGAACGGGUGAGUAACACGUGGGUGAUCUGCCCCUUACUUUGGGAUAAGCCUGGGAAACUGGGUCUAGUACUGGAUAGGACCAUGCUGUAGGUGGUGUGGUGGAAAGAUUAGUUUCGGUAAGGGAUGAGCUCGCGGCCUAUCAGCUUGUUGGUGGGGUAAUGGCCUACCAAGGCGUCGACGGGUAGCCGGCCUGAGAGGGUGGACGGCCACAUUGGGACUGAGAUACGGCCCAGACUCCUACGGGAGGCAGCAGUGGGGAAUAUUGCACAAUGGGCGCAAGCCUGAUGCAGCGACGCCGCGUGGGGGAUGACGGCCUUCGGGUUGUAAACUCCUUUCAGCCAUGACGAAGCCCUUGUGGUGACGGUAGUGGUAGAAGAAGCACCGGCUAACUACGU